GAAGGUAUAAUUUGGUGGUAGAGUGUGUGCAUAGCAUGCACAAGAUCAUGGGUUCAAUCCCCAGUACCUCCA
rfam:Camelus ferus unplaced genomic scaffold scaffold2190, whole genome shotgun sequence.